rnacentral:rRNA from 1 species
UGGGGAAUAUUGGACAAUGGGGGCAACCCUGAUCCAGCAAUGCCGCGUGUGUGAAGAAGGCCUUCGGGUUGUAAAGCACUUUCGUUUGGGAGGAAGUUAUGUAGGUUAAGAGACAGCAUAAUUGACUGUACCGAAAGGAUAAGCACCGGGUAACUCUGUGUCAGCAGCCGCGGUACUACAGAGGGUGCGAGCGUUAAUAGGCGUUACUGGGCGUGAAGGGCGCGUCGGCGGUUUGAUAAGAUUGAUGGG